AUUGAACGCUGGCGGAAUGCCUUACACAUGCAAGUCGAGCGGCAGCGCGGGGCAACCUGGCGGCGAGCGGCGAACGGGUGAGUAAUGUAUCGGAACGUGUCCUGUCGUGGGGGAUAGCCCGGUGAAAACCGGAUUAAUACCGCAUACGAUCGAGAGAUGAAAGUGGGGGACCGCAAGGCCUCACGCGAUAGGAGCGGCCGAUAUCUGAUUAGCUAGUUGGCGGGGUAAAGGCCCACCAAGGCUUCGAUCAGUAGCUGGUCUGAGAGGAUGAUCAGCCACACUGGGACUGAGACACGGCCCAGACUCCUACGGGAGGCAGCAGUGGGGAAUUUUGGACAAUGGGGGCAACCCUGAUCCAGCCAUUCCGCGUGAGUGAAGAAGGCCUUCGGGUUGUAAAGCUCUUUUGUCCGGGAAGAAACGGUUUCAACUAAUACUUGAGACUACUGACGGUACCGGAAGAAUAAGGACCGGCUAACUACGUGCCAGCCGCCGCGGUAAUAC
rnacentral:rRNA from 1 species